GCGUUGGUGGUGUAGUGGCAAGCAUAGUUGCCCUCCAAGCAGUUGACCUGGGUUCGAUUCCCGGUGUCCUAGCGGA
rnacentral:tRNA from 1 species